UUUCCGUAGGUGAACCUGCGGAAGGAUCAUUAAUUAUAUAAGGCCACAGGGCAAGCUUUGCGAAAGGAUCGAGCUUGCUGUGUGAACCCUACCUACCCUUGCUUUUUGCGUACCCAUUGUUUCCUCGGCAGGCUUGCCUGCCAGUAGGACCCUCUUAAACCCUUUGUAAUUGCAGUCAGCGUCAGAAACAACGUAAUCGUUACAACUUUCAACAACGGAUCUCUUGGUUCUG
rnacentral:misc_RNA from 1 species